rnacentral:rRNA from 1 species
UACGUAGGGGGCAAGCGUUGUCCGGAAUCAUUGGGCGUAAAGAGCGUGUAGGCGGUCCGUUAAGUCUGAUGUGAAAUCCCUGGGCUCAACUCAGGAACUGCAUUGGAAACUGGCAGGCUGGAGUACCGGAGAGGGAAGCGGAAUUCCUGGUGUAGCGGUGAAAUGCGUAGAUAUCGGGAGGAACAUCAGUGGCGAAGGCGGCUGCCUGGCCCAAUACUGACACUCAGGUGCGACAGCGUGGGGAGCAAACAGG